CAAGUCAUGGGGGCCCGCAAGGGCAACCGGCGAACGGGUGCGUAACACGUGAGCGACCUGCCUGAGUGCGGGGGAUAGCCGGCCCAACGGCCGGGUAAUACCGCAUACGCUUUUUCGAGGGCAUCCUUGGGAAAGGAAACCUCCGGGGCACUCAGAGGGGCUCGCGGCCUAUCAGCUAGUUGGCGGGGUAAUGGCCCACCAAGGCGACGACGGGUAGCUGGUCUGAGAGGAUGGCCAGCCACAUUGGGACUGAGAGACGGCCCAGACUCCUACGGGAGGCAGCAGUGGGGAAUCUUGCGCAAUGGCCGAAAGGCUGACGCAGCGACGCCGCGUGUGGGAGGAAGCUCUUCGGGGUGUAAACCACUGUUGCCCGGGACGAACAUGCUCUUUCGAGAGCACUGACGGUACCGGGUGAGGAAGCACCGGCUAACUCUGUGCCAGCAGCCGCGGUAAUACAGAGGGUGCGAGCGUUGUCCGGAAUCACUGGGCGUAAAGGGCGCGUAGGCGGCUUGAUAAGCGUGCGGUGAAAGCCCGGGGCUCAACCCCGGGUCGGCCGUGCGAACUGUCGAGCUGGAGCACUGUAGAGGCAGGUGGAAUUCCGGGUGUAGCGGUGGAAUGCGUAGAGAUCCGGAAGAACACCGGUGGCGAAGGCGGCCUGCUGGGCAGUGGCUGACGCUGAGGCGCGACAGCGUGGGGAGCAAACAGGAUUAGAUACCCUGGUAGUCCACGCCGUAAACGAUGGGCACUAGGUGCUUGGGGGAGCGACCCUCCGAGUGCCGGCGCUAACGCAUUAAGUGCCCCGCCUGGGGAGUACGGCCGCAAGGCUGAAACUCAAAGGAAUUGACGGGGG
rnacentral:rRNA from 1 species